UACGGAGGGUGCAAGCGUUAUCCGGAUUCACUGGGUUUAAAGGGUGCGUAGGCGGACAGGUAAGUCAGUGGUGAAAUCUCUGGGCUUAACCCAGAAACUGCCGUUGAUACUAUUUGUCUUGAAUAUCCUGGAGGUAGGCGGAAUAUGUCAUGUAGCGGUGAAAUGCUUAGAUAUGACAUAGAACACCGAUAGCGAAGGCAGCUUGCUACACAGUAAUUGACGCUGAGGCACGAAAGCGUGGGGAUCAAACAGG
rnacentral:rRNA from 1 species